rnacentral:rRNA from 1 species
CAAUAGCGUAUAUUAAAGUUGUUGCAGUUAAAAAGCUCGUAGUUGGAUUUCGGGGCAGCCUGGCUGGUCCGCCGCAAGGCGAGUACUGGUCAGCCGCCCUUCCUCUCGAAAGCCCCGACUGCUCUUCGUUGCAGUGGUCGGGUAGUUCGGGACGUUUACUUUGAAAAAAUUAGAGUGUUCAAGGCAGGCCUACGCCUGAAUACAUUAGCAUGGAAUAAUGGAAGAGGACCUCGGUCCUAUUUUGUUGGUUUCCAGGGCCGAAGUAAUGAUUAAGAGGGACAGUUGGGGGCAUUCGUAUUUAAUUGUCAGAGGUGAGAUUCUCGGAUUUAUGAAAGACGAACAACUGCGAAAGCAUUUGCCAAGGAUGUUUUCAUUAA